CUUUCCCUCUUUCUUCAUGCUUUACACAUGCAAGUCGAACGGCAGCGCGGGCUUCGGCCUGGCGGCGAGUGGCGAACGGGUGAGUAAUGCAUCGGAACGUGCCCAGUAGUGGGGGAUAGCCCGGCGAAAGCCGGAUUAAUACCGCAUACGACCUGAGGGUGAAAGCGGGGGACCGAAAGGCCUCGCGCUAUUGGAGCGGCCGAUGUCGGAUUAGCUAGUUGGUGGGGUAAAGGCUUACCAAGGCGACGAUCCGUAGCUGGUCUGAGAGGACGACCAGCCACACUGGGACUGAGACACGGCCCAGACUCCUACGGGAGGCAGCAGUGGGGAAUUUUGGACAAUGGGGGCAACCCUGAUCCAGCCAUGCCGCGUGCGGGAAGAAGGCCUUCGGGUUGUAAACCGCUUUUGUUCGGGAAGAAAUCCUCUGGGCUAAUACCCCGGGGGGAUGACGGUACCGGAAGAAUAAGCACCGGCUAACUACGUG
rnacentral:rRNA from 1 species